UGGGGAAUAUUGCACAAUGGGCGCAAGCCUGAUGCAGCCAUGCCGCGUGUAUGAAGAAGGCCUUCGGGUUGUAAAGUACUUUCAGCGGGGAGGAAGGGAGUAAAGUUAAUACCUUUGCUCAUUGACGUUACCCGCAGAAGAAGCACCGGCUAACUCCGUGCCAGCAGCCGCGGUAAUACGGAGGGUGCAAGCGUUAAUCGGAAUUACUGGGCGUAAAACGCACGCAGGCGGUUUGUUAAGUCAGAUGUGAAAUCCCCGGGCUCAACCUGGGAACUGCAUCUGAUACUGGCAAGCUUGAGUCUCGUAGAGGGGGGUAGAAUUCCAGGUGUAGCGGUGAAAUGCGUAGAGAUCUGGAGGAAUACCGGUGGCGAAGGCGGCCCCCUGGACGAAGACUGACGCUCAGGUGCGAAAGCGUGGGGAGCAAACAGG
rnacentral:rRNA from 1 species